rnacentral:rRNA from 1 species
ACUCAAAGGAAUAGACGGGGACCCGCACAAGCGGUGGAUGAUGUGGAUUAAUUCGAUGCAACGCGAAAAACCUUACCUACCCUUGACAUGGUCGGAAUCUGCCAGAGAUGGUGGAGUGCUCGCAAGAGAACCGGCACACAGGUGCUGCAUGGCUGUCGUCAGCUCGUGUCGUGAGAUGUUGGGUUAAGUCCCGCAACGAGCGCAACCCUUGUCAUUAGUUGCUACGAAAGGGCACUCUAAUGAGACUGCCGGUGACAAACCGGAGGAAGGUGGGGAUGACGUCAAGUCCUCAUGGCCCUUAUGGGUAGGGCUUCACACGUCAUACAAUGGUACAUACAGAGGGCCGCCAACCCGCGAGGGGGAGCUAAUCCCAGAAAGUGUAUCGUAGUCCGGAUUGGAGUCUGCAACUCGACUCCAUGAAGUUGGAAUCGCUAGUAAUCGCGGAUCAGCAUGUCGCGGUGAAUACGUUCCCGGGUCUUGUACACACCGCCCGU